AUUGAACGCUGGCGGCAGGCCUAACACAUGCAAGUCGAGCGAGCGGCGGAUGGGUGAGUAAUGUCUGGGAAACUGCCUGAUGGAGGGGGAUAACUACUGGAAACGGUCGCUAAUACCGCAUACCAUCAGAUGUGCCCAGAUGGGGUUAGCUAGUAGGUGGGGUAACGGCUCAACUAGGCGACGAUCCCUAGCUGGUCUGAGAGGGUGACCAUCCACACGGGAACUGAGACACGGUCCAGACUCCUACGGGAUGCAGCAGUGGGGAAUAUUGCACAAGGGGCGCAAGCCUGAUGCAGCCAUGCCGCGUGUGUGAAGAAGGCCUUCGGGUUUUAAAGCACUUGCAGCGGGGAGGCGUUACCCGCAGAAGAAGCACCGGCUAACUCCGUGCCAGCAGCCGCGGUAAUAC
rnacentral:rRNA from 1 species